GUGCGGCGUACCUAAUACAUGCAGUCGAGCGAAUGGAUUAAGAGCUUGCUCUUAUGAAGUUAGCGGCGGACGGGUGAGUAACACGUGGGUAACCUGCCCAUAAGACUGGGAUAACUCCGGGAAACCGGGGCUAAUACCGGAUAACAUUUUGAACCGCAUGGUUCGAAAUUGAAAGGCGGCUUCGGCUGUCACUUAUGGAUGGACCCGCGUCGCAUUAGCUAGUUGGUGAGGUAACGGCUCACCAAGGCAACGAUGCGUAGCCGACCUGAGAGGGUGAUCGGCCACACUGGGACUGAGACACGGCCCAGACUCCUACGGGAGGCAGCAGUAGGGAAUCUUCCGCAAUGGACGAAAGUCUGACGGAGCAACGCCGCGUGAGUGAUGAAGGCUUUCGGGUCGUAAAACUCUGUUGUUAGGGAAGAACAAGUGCUAGUUGAAUAAGCUGGCACCUUGACGGUACCUAACCAGAAAGCCACGGCUAACUACGUGCCAGCAGCCGCGGUAAUACGUAGGUGGCAAGCGUUAUCCGGAAUUAUUGGGCGUAAAGCGCGCGCAGGUGGUUUCUUAAGUCUGAUGUGAAAGCCCACGGCUCAACCGUGGAGGGUCAUUGGAAACUGGGAGACUUGAGUGCAGAAGAGGAAAGUGGAAUUCCAUGUGUAGCGGUGAAAUGCGUAGAGAUAUGGAGGAACACCAGUGGCGAAGGCGACUUUCUGGUCUGUAACUGACACUGAGGCGCGAAAGCGUGGGGAGCAAACAGGAUUAGAUACUUGG
rnacentral:rRNA from 1 species